CUGGCUUUUCUGCUCGUUAUAUUAAAGAGCCAAACGAGCCAAGUCCAAACGUACUGAGCUGGCUCAUUAUCCAGCCCUAUCCCUUACCAGUAUCGCAUCCCGUUACCACUCAUCUUCCUCAUGAGAAAUUUAGGAUUUUACCACUCUUGUCGUUAGCGCUCGCUAAAAUGUCAUAAGUGAACAUAAUUUUAUUAAAAUAUCACUCUCGCUGAUACUCACCGCGCUACAAUGACAUUUUACUUUUUUUCCUCAAUUUUUUUUUCUUUUUCAGCUAAAAUUAGAUCUAGAUUGAUGAAUUUGCCCCUAGCCGAACAGGCCCUUUCUGUGGAUCGGUUUGAGGUCUUUUUUUCAGCUAAAAUCACAUCUUUUUAAUCCAAAUCUCGUGCCCAGCUCAAGAAUGAUUUGCUCUUGUCUACUGUAGCCUCCUAUGCUUAAGUUUUUUUUAUUCUUGUAUGGUUAUUGAGAGUCUACAGGAACAAAAAAACAUAGUGAUUGAAAUAAGGUGACGGUAUGCAUUUCGGUCAGGGCAAAUUUGUUAAUGCAGGCUUGAUUUCAGCUAAAAAAAAGAAAUUGAGGAAAAAAAUAGAUAGUGAACGCCGACGAGGGUGGCAAAAUUCAAAAUUUCCCCUUCCUCAUCGGCUCAUCGCUCCAGCCUCAAACAGAGCCGCCGCUCGCUCUCGAUCCCAUCUUCCUCUUGCGAGCUGCUCUGUCGGCGACCAGCGCACUGCCUUAUCGCCGGGGGAGGAGUCAGCUACCACACAGGAGGAGGAGGGCAGCAGGCGGAUUUGCAAAAGGAUCUGGAGGGCUUCGAUUCCCCUUCACACUGAAGUAAGAUGAUCCUUGGGUGCAUCUGCAUGGUGAAGCAAAUAAAAAGUGAUGGGAAGCUAGGAUGUUUGGAUCUCAAGCUUCAAAAGUUGAUCAUCUUUGGUUUAUGAAUUGCUAGUGUGAUGUUCUUUGUAAUAGUUCUGUAGCAGUUAUGAGAUCAUGAAUGUUCCUAUUCGGUCUAUUCACUUUUGGUACUAGCAGAUCAACAUACUAGAGACUGUCUAUGUAACGGUUUGUAUGAUGUUUUGCGGCAUGGUACUUUAUUUAGUGGACGCUUUGGCUGUUGUGAGAUGGCCUGGGAAACAUAUUUCGUUCUGGCAAAACCUCCUUGUAAUGUAAUGAUGCUCGGGUUAGCAUAUUCAAGAGAAUAGACAUUGCUUUUGUAUUCCUGUAAUGUUCUGAUUAGCAUCUAUUUGUACGUUGUAUUUGUUGGCUUGUCACUAGAUCAGUUCUCAUGAAUAGUAUUCAAAUUUGACGA